rnacentral:rRNA from 1 species
CACGGAGGGUGCAAGCGUUAUCCGGAAUCACUGGGUUUAAAGGGUGCGUAGGCGGCUUGGUAAGUCAGAGGUGAAAGCCCGCAGCUUAACUGCGGAACUGCCUUUGAUACUGCCGAGCUUGAAAGAGGUUGAGGUCAGCGGAACGUGACAUGUAGCGGUGAAAUACAUAGAUAUGUCACAGAACACCAAUUGCGAAGGCAGCUGGCUGGGCCUACUUUGACGCUGAGGCACGAAAGCGUGGGGAGCGAACAUG